GACGAACGCUGGCGGCGUGCUUAACACAUGCAAGUCGAACGGAAAGGCCCUCACCUUGGUGGGGGUGCUCGAGUGGCGAACGGGUGAGUAACACGUGGGUGAUCUGCCCUGCACUUCGGGAUAAGCUUGGGAAACUGGGUCUAAUACCGGAUAGGACCAUGGUUUAGUGUCUCAUGGUGGAAAGAUUAUUGUUUUGGUGCAGGAUGAGCUCGCGGCCUAUCAGCUUGUUGGUGGGGUAAUGGCCUACCAAGGCGUCGACGGGUAGCCGGCCUGAGAGGGUGGACGGCCACAUUGGGACUGAGAUACGGCCCAGACUCCUACGGGAGGCAGCAGUGGGGAAUAUUGCACAAUGGGCGCAAGCCUGAUGCAGCGACGCCGCGCGGGGGAUGACAGCCUUCGGGUUGUAAACUCCUUUCGUUAGGGACGAAGCCACA
rnacentral:rRNA from 1 species